rnacentral:rRNA from 1 species
AACGCGAAGAACCUUACCAGGGCUUGACAUGCCGGGUAAAGCCGUGGAAACACGGUGCUCCUUCGGGAGCCGGCACAGGUGCUGCAUGGCUGUCGUCAGCUCGUGUCGUGAGAUGUUCGGUUAAGUCCGAAAACGAGCGCAACCCCUAGGUUUAGUUACAAGUGUCUAAACCGACUGCCUGCGGCAAGCAGGAGGAAGGUGGGGAUGACGUCAAGUCAGCAUGGCCUUUAUAUCCAGGGCGACACACACGCUACAAUGGCGCGUACAAUAGGUAGCCACACCGCGAGGUGGAGCCAAUCCCUAAAGCCGGUCUCAGUUCGGAUCGGAGUCUGCAACUCGACUCCGUGAAGCUGGAGUUGCUAGUAACCGCAGGUCAGCCACACUGCGGUGAAUACGUUCCCGGGCCUUGUACACACCG